ACUCUAAUAGUUUAUAAAAAACUUUGGUCUUGUAAACCAAAGACUGAAGAUCCACCCCUUCUUAGAGUA
rfam:Callipepla squamata strain Texas jcf7180005221022, whole genome shotgun sequence.